GCGUAUAGAUAUCAUGCUGUCGAGCGAAUCAUGGGAGCUUGCUCCCUGAGAUUAGCGGCGGACGGGUGAGUAACACGUGGGUAACCUGCCUGUAAGACUGGGAUAACUUCGGGAAACCGGAGCUAAUACCGGAUAGUUUCUUUUCUCGCAUGAGAGAAGAUGGAAAGAUGGUUUCGGCUAUCACUUACAGAUGGACCCGCGGCGCAUUAGCUAGUUGGUGAGGUAACGGCUCACCAAGGCAACGAUGCGUAGCCGACCUGAGAGGGUGAUCGGCCACACUGGGACUGAGACACGGCCCAAACUCCUACGGGAGGCAGCAGUAGGGAAUCUUCCGCAAUGGACGAAAGUCUGACGGAGCAACGCCGCGUGAGCAAAAAAGGCCUUCGGGUCGUAAAGCUCUGUUGUUAGGGAAGAACAAGUACAAGAGUAACUGCUCGUACCUUGACGGUACCUAACCAGAAAGCCACGGCUAACUACGUGCCAGCAGCCGCGGUAAUACGUAGGUGGCAAGCGUUGUCCGGAAUUAUUGGGCGUAAAGCGCGCGCAGGCGGUCCUUUAAGUCUGAUGUGAAAGCCCACGGCUCACCCGUGGAGGGUCAUUGGAAACUGGGGGACUUGAGUGCAGAAGAGGAGAGUGGAAUUCCACGUGUAGCGGUGAAAUGCGUAGAGAUGUGGAGGAACACCAGUGGCGAAGGCGACUCUCUGGUCUGUAACUGACGCUGAGGCGCGAAAGCGUGGGGAGCAAACAGGAUUAGAUACCCUGGUAGUCCACGCCGUAAACGAUUGAGUGCUAAGUGUUAGAGGGUUUCCGCCCUUUAGUGCUGCAGCUAACGCAUUAAGCACUCCGCCUGGGGGAGUACGGCCGGCAAGGCUGAAACUCAAAGGAAUUUGACGGGGGCCCGCACAGCGGUGGGAGCAUUGUGGUUUAAUUCGAAGCAACGCCGAAGAACCCUUACCAAGUCUUGACAUCCUCUGCCAACCCUUAGAGAUAGGGCGUUCCCUCUUUCGGGGGACAGAGUGACAGUGGUG
rnacentral:rRNA from 2 species